GUCGAGGAUCUUCUGCAAUGGGGGCAACCCUGACAGAGCGACGCCGCGUGCGGGAUGAAGGCCUUCGGGUUGUAAACCGCUGUCACAGGUUAAGAAAUGAUCAGGUGCGAACAGCACUUGGUCUUGACAAAGGCCUGAGAGGAAGCCACGGCUAACUUCGUGCCAGCAGCCGCGGUAAGACGAAGGUGGCGACCGUUGUUCGGAAUCACUGGGCAUAAAGAGCACGUAGGCGGGAAUGUAAGUCGGGUGUGAAAGCCCUCGGCCCAACCGAGGAAUUGCGCCCGAAACUGCGUUUCUUGAGGGCAGGAGGGGAGCGUGGAAUUCCUGGUGGAGCGGUGAAAUGCGUUGAUAUCAGGAGGAACACCGGCGGCGAAGGCGACGCUCUGGUCUGCUACUGACGCUGAGGUGCGAAAGCCAGGGGAGCAAACGGGAUUAGAUACCCUAGUAGUCC
rnacentral:rRNA from 1 species